rnacentral:rRNA from 1 species
GAUCAACGCUGGCGGCGUGCAUGAGACAUGCAAGUCGAACGAAGGAUCGGGCUUGCUCGAUCCUUAGUGGCGGACGGCUGAGUAACGCGUAGGUGACCUACCCCGAAGUGGGGAAUAACUGCCCGAAAGGGUGGCUAAUACCGCAUGUGGUCGCACGUUCAUUCGUGCGAGUAAAGCUGCAAGGCGCUUCGGGAGGGGCCUGCGUCCGAUUAGCUCGUUGGUGGGGUAAUGGCUUACCAAGGCGACGAUCGGUAGGUGGUCUGAGAGGACGAUCACCCAGACUGGGACUGAGACACGGCCCAGACUCCUACGGGAGGCAGCAGUCGGGAAUUUUGCUCAAUGGGGGAAACCCUGAAGCAGCAACGCCGCGUGAGGGAUGAAGGCCUUCGGGUUGUAAACCUCUUUUGUCAGGGACGAUGAUGACGGUACCUGGCGAAUAAGCCACGGCUAACUACGUG